rnacentral:lncRNA from 1 species
CAGCCAACCAUCAGUGUCUCUUUGACUUUCGCUCCUGACCUCUAUUGACUUCUUGCCUAUAGGACUUUGCAUUGGGGGAGACAUGCGCUUUUUUUACAAAAGCAUUUUCUAGUUUUCAUUAUUUUCUAACCUGGUCUGUGUAUGUCAGGUUAGGAGAAUACCCAGAAAAGUCUAUAAAAUGUCCUUUUUCAACUUUUCAUUGAUUUACACAGACAUAGUAAGAUAUUUAGAGUAAUAACUAUAGCAGGAUUUUAUUCAGUAAAACAACUUCCUUCGUUUAAUUGACUAAGUCAUAUUGAUUGUGAAUAUACCGUGACUCUUUUUAACAACAAAAUUUACCUGAGUAUUCCCUUGGAAUGCAAAAACAAAGAAAGUAGAAACCAGUUAGUAAUUUAUAGAGAAUAUUUCUUCAGUAAGGAAAAAAAAUAAUUCUGCUUGACAAUGUUAAGCUUUUCUUAGUAUGCGCAGUACAUCUAGAAAUGCAAUGUUUUUGCCAUCAAUUUUUUCAUACUUUCCUUUAUAAUUUCCUUGUACAUAUAUAAUUGAAUUAUAUGAAGGGUCAAAAAUCACGUUUAAACAAGCACACAGUUAAUAACAUGUAAAACCACCAUUUGCACUUACCAAGGCAAGGCAUCGUUGGUUAAAAACAUACUGACUGUAGACCCAGUGUUACGUUUCUAGAUGUACUCAGUAUAUGUUAUUGUAAUUUGUAAUGAGAUUUUGACACUAAGGAUAAAUGUGUUCAUAUUAUCGCAGUCAAGAGGAAUGAAGUUACCCUGAAAGUAUGAAUUUCGUACUUGUUUAAAUAAAUUAUGUUCUGUGUAAAAUGUAUCUAAACAUUCCAUGGUAGUGCUAUAAAUCAAAGUUUCUUUAUCAUGAUUAUUUUAUACCUGUACUGUGAAAAAAAUGCCACUAAAUCAUUAUUGUUUAUAUAAACUGAAAAAUAUCAUUAUGUAUUUGGUAGAACAAGAACACCAAAUCCUUGAUAAAACAUGUUUGUUUGAGAAAAAAAAUCAGUUUUAAUCUGUCUGAUUUUUUUUUACUCGUUUAUGUGCUAUAGUGAUUGUAUAUAAUUAUUAUUGAAGAUUUUGUCUACAAAACUGAGGAUAUUUAUUGUUCAUAUUUUAUCUAUGAGCUACUGUAACUAGUUAAUGAUACUCGUUUAAAACUGGAUAUUGGUAAAACUGUUGGCAUAAACAGUAAUGAGUGGUAUAUUUUAGGACACCUUGGUUUAUUGUUCUGUACAUGUGUUUGGAUACCAGUCAAGCACCUGUCUGAUAUAGGUACAUCAUGAUAUUGACCAGUCACAUUGCAUUUUGAGACAGGUAUGCAAAUAAAGUUGUGAUUUUGGAUUCUGGUAUGGUCUAAUCGUACUUGAAAAUGAUAUUAUCUAGGGUAGCGAUGAUUUUUCUGCACGUAAAUGCAAUUUAUUGGAUACUACUGUUAUAUUCUUGAUGUUAUUUAAUGAUAUAUAUUCAUGUUUUUGUAUUGUUUUCGUUGUUGUUGCGCAUUACACACAUAAGUGUAAGUUUGACAGUAAAUGUGUAAUGUUAACACUGUUACACAUAGUUUAUGGUACCGACUAAAUCAUGGACAAGUAAGAAUACAGCCUUGUAAAUUUCAAAAUUCUGAAAGGGGCAUAUGAUGUAAUACUGGUAUGUAACUAUAAAUACAGAUUAUAGCUACUAUAAGAUUUGUCCUUGAAAAAAUCAACAGUUUCUACUGAACAUACAUUGUCAAAGUGUUUUAUCAGUUACUAUCCUGAUUCUUUUUUUUUAGCAAAUCUGAUUUUUGAACAAAAUCUAUGAGGUAAUCUGAUUUUUGAACAAAAGUCUGUGAGGUAAUCUGAUUUUUGAAAAAAAAUCUUUGAGGUAUUGUCAUCAUUUGAUGGUUGGAAUUGGUUAUGAUUUUGUUAAUAGGUCCACUCUUUCUUGAAUGUUAUAAGAGCUAUAGGUUUGAAACUUUGUACAUUCAUGUAUCAUCAUUAUAUUAAUAAGUAGGCCAAGAACCAUAACUCUUACUUGCAUUAUGUCAGAAUUACGGCUCUUUUUGUACUUAAAAAAUUUGUAUUUCUUGGUGAAUGUUUUUGUUCUGGUCCGUUUUCUUGAAUACUGUAUUAAGAGCUAUAGCUUUUAAAUUGUACAUCUAUUUAUUAUCAGUGGGUUAGUAUAAAAGCCAAGAACCAUAACUCUUUUCUUGCAUUUUGCUUAAUGUCAAUAAGCAUGGAAUGUUUGAUGUUUAUUAUUCAAUCAGUUUAUUUGAGUAAAGAAUGUUUCUUUUAAAAUGAACUGUCUACUGGAAGUAAACUAGAAAACAGCACAUAAAAGAGUUCAAAAAACAUUUUAAGAAUUCACACAAAUUUGCAAUUUUCUUGGCAUGUUAAUGCUCGUUGAUACUAACAAAGUCUAUUUACAAGAUGCGUAUCUCAUUUUACCACACUUUUCUUGAGUUAAUUUUUGUUUAAUGUCUUUUGAUCAAAAUCUUGCAUAGGCAUUGACAAAGAUGAAUACUUCUCAAUCGCAGUGGAAGAAUGACAGCUGUGUAUGGGAGAUUGAACCUGGAUAUCCAUGUCAUGUGAACGUGGACUUGGUCCAAAAUGAACAAAAUAUGAACCAUUUCUACAUUUGUAUGUUGUACUGUGAAAAAAUAACAGGAUUGCUAAAAAUGUAAAAUUCAGUCAUUUUUGUUGCUUAAGACUGUUUUGUUUGAUCUUUUGUUUAUUUCAACACUGCUUUGUUAAGUGGCACUGUUCUGUAACCCCCUCUCUUCCUUAGUUUCCAGACUUCCCCACUUUUUAUGUAGGUCGCCAAAAUUCUUUUAAACCCAUAUUAUAUUCAUUUUACUAGUGCAACCAUAAGAAGUAUAUUGAGAGCUAUGCUGUGAUGGAUCACUUUUCAUAUAUCACGUUUAUGAAGAAUAUGAACCUGUUAUAAUAGAAUAUUGCAUUUUAGAAAAACUUUAACAAAUUGUAUUCAAAGACUGACAGAAUUGUGUGAAAAAAAAAAUUGUGGUUUGGUGCAAGAACUAUUUCCGACACUAAUAUUUCUGACACUAAUAUUUCUCACAUUUGAAAAUGUGAAAAAUAUGGUCUUGUUCUUCACAGGGUUGUGAAGAAUUUUUGAAAAGUUUGGUCCAACAGAGUUGUCGUCACCUUGGUGCAAUAUUUAUAGGUUAUUAGCUUUGUAUUGGGAAAUAUGCACAAGUUCUGCAGCGGAAAUAUUGCGUAACUUUAGGAGCGUAAUAUUGUUCUGCUAAAGAAUGAGUGCAUAUUUCCCUAUGCAAAGAUAAUAACCUUUUUAUUACAAACGUAUCUACACGUAUAAAUGUAUAUAAUGUUAAUAUAAUGAAUUUGUUAAAAAGCCUGAAUAAAAUUGAUAAUAUUGAACUAAAUAAAAGAAUUAAUGCAAUGACACUAAUUAAAUACACCAGAUAUGAAAUUCAGUCGUCACUGUAUGGAAAAAUAUUGACGUUUCCGGUACCAUUCAAACUUAACGGGAAAUAGAAACAAGUAUGUAAUAAAUGAUAAUAUAAAGUUAUUAUGUAGGUUUUGAUAUAAUUUUUACAGAAUGUUACUAUUUAUGACAAACAUUAGACGGAUACCUCAAUUAUACCCCCCAAGUUUUGUCUGUUAAUGCAUAUACAUGUAUAUUUAACACAAGAUAGACAAGUGUUAAGAAUCAAGCGAUUAUGUUUGUACUGGUAUUAUAUACCAUCUUGCUUGAAUGAAAUUACAGUCAGCAACAGACUGAUUACAAGUAUUUAGAUAUUUAAAAUAUUUAAACAGCAAUUAUCAAGGGGAAAUAAUGAGUUUUAUUAAUUAUGAAGUUAUCUGUUACAUCAUUCAUUACCUGAUCAGUCACAGACACAACUUAGUAAUAAAAGAAAUCAAAGCGCAAGUCCGAAAAUUUUGCAUAAACUUAACAUAGUUUUGGUUUGGUUAUAUUUUUAUCUUAUGUGUGCGUAUUUUAUUUUGUUUUUUGCAUUUCAUGUUCAGCAUUUUUGUAAAACUGGAACCUUAUCUAUUAUAAAGUUGCUAGUUCACAUAUUGUUUGAUUUUUUAAUGAUUUGCCAUACGAGGUAAUUUUGUAUAUUUAGGAAUCCUGUGCAUAUAUUGUUUUAUUUAUUCCAUUAACAGAUUGUUUAAAUAAUUAUUAUAUUAAAUGUGACACUUAAUAAAAAAGACAAAAACUUU